rnacentral:misc_RNA from 1 species
GAUGAAGAACGUAGCGAAAUGCGAUAAGUAAUGUGAAUUGCAGAAUUCAGUGAAUCAUCGAAUCUUUGAACGCACCUUGCGCCCUUUGGCCAUUCCGAAGGGCAUGCCUGUUUGAGUAUCAUGAACACCUCAACUCUUUAUGGUUUUCCAUGAUGAGCUUGGACUCUGGGGGUUUUGCUGGCUCACAGUCGGCUCCUCUAAAAUGAAUCAGCUUACCAGUGUUUGGUGGGUAUCAUGGGUGUGAUAACUAUCUACGCUUGUGGUUUUUCCACCAGGUAACCUUCAGCAGUGGAGGUUCGCUGGAGCGCAUAGAUGUCUCUCCUCAGUGAGGACAGCCCUUUGAAUGUUUGAUCUCAAAUCAGGUAGGACUACCCGCUGAACUUAAGCAUAUCAAUAAGCGGAGGA